GCGCCGUUAGCUCAGCUGGUAGAGCAAGUGACUCUUAAUCACUGGGUCGUAGGUUCGAUCCCUACACGGCGCACCA
rnacentral:tRNA from 1 species